ensembl:lncRNA
GUUUGCUUUUAUACAGGCUGUAUAGCUGGGUGUGAUUUUGAUGAUAAGGAUGAAUGUGGCUGGAGGAAUGUGGUACCUAAUGAUGAAAUUACUGGUUGGGAAUUUUGGACUGGACAGACAGAUACACCAGGCACUGGCCCUGAUGAUGACUUCUCCAAACCAGGAUGUAAGUCCAAUAUUCCACCCUGUCAUAUCAAUGAUUUUAAGGACUGCUUUCUGUCCUCUUUGCAUUCUCUAUUUUCUCAAACUGUUUCUUUCCAAUGCAGUGGGGUCAUACCUGUUAAUGGACUCCAGCUAUAGUAUUGAAGGAAAAUCCGCUCAGCUCUGGAGUCCCUCUACCUCAGCCUCUGGUUGCCUACAGCUGGACUUCCAUUACUACAUGUAUGGCAGCGCCACCAACAUGGAGCUAAAUGUCCAUGCAAUCACCACCGGUGGAGGACUUGGAGCCCCUAUUUUCAGCCUCAAAGGAAAUCAAGGUCAGGCCUGGAAGCCUACAACCAUUCACUACAUUGGUUCAGCCGAUUCAGUGGAGGUCAGUUUUAUUCUCUCAGUUAAAAUUUUGUGAAUGAGCUUUAUACAUUUUUGACAAAAUGAUCUGGCCCAUUUGAGUGACAAAGCAAUUUAUAUUCAUCAUGUAUGUUGCCAAAUGUUCACGUUUUUAUACGUUUUUAUUCAGUUUGUAAUUGUAGGUGUUUAUGGUGAAACAGACAAGACAGAUAUUGCAAUUGAUAGUGUCUGCAUUACCACUUGUACAGCAACUCCAUCAACACCUAAGCCAUCCCCACCCCAACCCACUACACCUAAACCAUCAACACCACAACCCACUUCACCUAAACCAACGACACCAGGUCCAUCAUCCCCUAAUCCAUCAACACCACAACCUACUUCACCUAAACCAACAACACCAGGUCCAGCAUCACCUAAUCCAUCUACACCACAACCCACUUCACCCAAACCAACAACACCAGGUCCAUCAUCACCUAAUCCAUCUACAUCCCUACCUACUUCACCUAAACCAACGACACCAGGUCCUUCAUCACCUAAUCCAUCUACACCCCAACCUCCUUCACCUAAACCAACGACACCAGGUCCAUCCUCACCUAAUCCAUCUACACCCCAACCUACUUCACCUAGACCAACGACGCCAGGUCCAUCAUCCCCUAAUACGUCUACACCCCAACCUACUUCACCUAAACCAACUACACCAGGUCCAUCAUCACCUAAUCCAUCUACACACCAACCUACUUCACCUAAACCACCGACACCAGGUCCAUCAUUACCUAAUCCAUCUACAGCCCAACCUACUUCACCCUAACCAACGACACCAGGUCCAUCAUCACCUAAUCCAUCAACACCACAACCUACUUCACCUAAACCAACAACACCAGCUCCAUCAUCACCUAAUCCAUCUACACCACAACCUACUACACCUAAACCAACAACACCAGGUCCACCAUCACCUAAUCCAUCUACACCACAACCCACUUCACCCAAACCAACAACACCAGGUCCAUCAUCCCCUAAUCCAUCUACAGCCCAGCCCACUUCACCCAAACCAACGACACCAGGUCCAUCCUCACCUAAUCCAUCUACACCACAACCUACUUCAUCUGAACCAACGACACCAGGUCCAUCAUCACCUAAUCCAACUACACCACAACCCACUACACCCAAACCAACGACACCAGGUCCAUCAACACCUAAUCCAUCUACACCCCAACCUACUUCACCUCAACCACCGACACCAGGACCAUCAUCACCUAAUCCAUCUACAUCCCAACCUACUUCACCCAAACCAACGACACCAGGACCAUCAUCACCUAAUCCAUCUCCACCCCAACCUACUUCACCUAAACCAACGACGCCAGGUCCUUCAUCACCUAAUCCAUCUACACCCCAACCUACUUCACCUAAACCGACGACACCAGGUCCAUCAUCACCUAAUCCAUCUACACCACAACCUACUUCACCCAAACCAACGACACCAGGUCCAUCUUCACCUAAUCCAUCUACACCACAACCUACUUCAACUAAACCAACGACACCAGGUCCAUCAUCACCUAAUCCAUCUACACCACAACCCACUACACCCAAACCAACAACACCAGGUCCAUCAACUCCUAAACCAACAACACCUAAGCCAACUACUCCAGGACCAACACCACCAGGUAAGCUAAACUUGUUCUAUUUUGAUUAGAAACAUUUAUCAAAACAUUAUAACAUUUGUUUAGAUAAACAAACCCUUCUUGUCUCCAAACAGUGAACUGCCCUCCAGACUCUGAGUACAUUGAUUGCGGCCCAGCCUGUAUUCCUACCUGUGCAGAACCCUCUACUAACUGCUCUGGUUCUUGCAUCAGCGGCUGCUUCUGUAAACCAGGAUUUGUUUUCCGUGGCCGGCGCUGUGUCCCUAUUGAGCAGUGUGGAUGUCUGGAUGAAGAAAAUAAUUACUUUGAGGUACUGUACAAGAGUUGUCAUUGUAGGGCUGCAUUUUUAUUCAGCUUUGGGACCUAAAGUUUUGCAGUAAAAAAUAUUGGUUUGUAUUUUCACUCAGCCUGGUGAGAUCAUAUUUGGAGAUGGUUGUUCCAAGUUGUGUCGCUGUGGUGGCAACUAUACCUUUGACUGUGUAGACAACACCUGUGACCCUGUGACAGAAGAAUGUCGGGAUGUUGGUGAAGUGCAUGGCUGCUACCCUAAAGGUAUUUCAGAAAACCACAGCAACCCCUUAUUCACAACUACCAUAACUGACAAGUGACAAACAAUACACUAAUUUGCUUCUGUGGUAGCUCAUGUUUCAAAGAAGCUACAAACACACAGAUACAAUUUAUGAUCAAGUUUGUAUUCAUGUCUUUGACACCAAGGGAUUUUUCAUUCACAGGAACCUCCACCUGUAUUGCCUCUGGUGACCCCCAUUAUAACACCUUUGAUAACCGGCGCUAUGACUUCAUGGGAAACUGUUCUUACCUGAUGUCCGAACCUUGUAACAGCACAGAUGUGCCUUACUUCGCUGUGUACACAGACAAUGAGAAUCGUUACAACAAUCCUCAUAUCAGCUACGUAAAAGCAGUUCAUGUCCAUGCGCUG